UAUCCUUUUUAGCGGGCGGACAUUUUCAACAUCGAUUCUCGCACAAAAGCAAGGAUACGAUGAACAAAACACGAAGAUAAGGAAAAAAAUCUUUUUUUUCCUCAAAUAUUAAAAGGUAGUACAGCCAGCGUUCUCGUUCUUGGUUUUCUAUCUGUCUUCCCCCAUUUUGUUUAGCUGUUCUUACUACGUACUGAAUAAAGCGAGGAUUUUCAGAAUUAUUUCGUGCUCAAAAUCUUUUUCAAUGUUUGUUAUCCUGUAAGUUAGGAGUAACCGUGCCGACACACCGCGUGCCCUUUUUAUGACAUGCCCGGCAAACAAUGCGAGGGUUGGUGAGGUACCUCUCGCUCUAAUUUCUCUAGUCUAGUCUAGUUGUCUCGCUUCCUCUUAUAGCGAUUCUGUCGAGCUGAGCUUUCACGUCCCUCACCACCGAUCUCCUUCCUACCCCUCGCCUAUGAUCGUCUGACGUCUCGCCUGACACCUUUCGUUGUGUUGGUGCUAUGCGGCUGCUGUCACUGAAGAAGUCAAGUUGUGUGUGUAAAAGAACGUAAACAGUGUUGUUGGCUGAUCAAUUUUGGUAAGUUUUUAAAUAAUUAAGUUCUUAAUUUUACGUAAGUAAGUGCCAUUUUAGCAAAAGUAAGUGGUAGAAGUCCUGCCCAAUGCGUGCUGGCUCCGUCGGAAGCGGUACGUGCAUGUACCGGCAUAGAAAAGUGGUGUGGUGGACAACACAGCACAAGACAGUGGAUAUAAUGCAGAAAUGAUAUGGGCCUGCCGCAGGUGUUUGCGACUGUGCGCUGUGUAUGAUUGUGUAUGAUUCGCCAAUUUUCCUCUAUCCUGGAACGUGGGCUUACGAGGAACCAUUUAAGAACAUCCUCCGGAAGCUGUACGGCGACGUGUCGGGCUCUACCAGCACAACACGCUAGAGGCCCAGCCGGCACCGGGUGCCCCGAUUGCGCCGCCAGACGGUGUCGAGCGCGCUCGUUCAAAACGUUCGGGGCAGGAAUUCAACCCUUCGGAUCAUUAUCCUCUGCCUCACAAUAGCUUUAUGUUUAUGUUUAUUUGUCUAUCGAUGGACAAUAAUGCCCUCUCGAACCAUUUUAGCAAUGUUUUACAAUGAGUUCUUUACAUUGGAUUACAAUAACAUAAAACAUAAAAAUGUGCACUAUGGAACCAAAUUUAACACAGAAACACGAUCAUUAAACUCAGUUGGCAAAAUCCUCGGCUCAAAAGCGUCGCUGACUGCGUUGAAAGCACGGCACAUAAGUAGGAACGGGUCAGAGGAGCCAAAUUGCGUUCUACGGUCGUCGAGGGCCAACAUUGCCCGAGUCCGGAGCCUGGCCGGAACGUACAGGUUGAUGGCAGCCAGUAGUGACGGAGAGUCAAUACGGCCGUCGAGAAGUCCCGUGAUGAACGACAACCUGGCUUUUUGUAUUCGCUCACUUAGGGUGGGUAGCCCGAGUAGUAAACACCUAGUCCGGUAAUCGAGCCUUUGGUUCCAUGAGCGAAGUGCAAAUCGUGAAAUUUUGCGCUGGAUUGAUUCCAAUCGAACUAACGGACGCGCUGCAGUUGGCCACCAUACGAUAUUUGCAUAUUCCAUCAACGACCGGAUAAGUGAGCAAUAGAGCGCCUUGGUGCAAGGUAUAUCGUUAAGCUCGCGAGUCAUAUUGAUAACUAGUCCUAGCAUUCUAUUGCUGGUGGCUACUACGUGAUCCAGCUGAUCCUUAAAUGAUAGUUUUGUAUCGAGCAAAACACCUAGAUCCUUAACACAUAGUUAUCGCACCAAGGACUGUCCAUCAAGCGCAUAUUCAUACAAUGAUGGGCAGCGAGAACGACUGAAAGUGAUGACUUCACAUUUAUGUGUGUAUAGGGAUAAAGCAUUACGGUUGCACCAACACUGGAACUCAUGCAAGGAAGUUUGCAGUCGGGCGUGGUCUUCUGGUUCACGAAUAACACGAAAAAUUUUCGCGUCAUCUGCGUACAGUAGAUGAUUAUCAGCCGGAAGGAUCAAUGUCGCGUCGUUGAUGAAAAGAAGGAACAGCAAAGGACCCAGGUUGCUGCCCUGCGGGACUCCAGAAGAUGCAUGUACUGGACUUGACAUGUACGGGCCUAACUUCACAGAAUAUUGACGAUCUGUAAGGUACGAUCUAAGCCACAUUAUCAUAGGGUUUGGGAGACCAAGUAAGUCGAGUUUCGCUAGCAAGAUGGAGUGCGAUACACUGUCGAAUGCUGCCUUGAUAUCCGUAUAAAUAGCAUCUAGUUGUAAACCGUUAUCGAUAGAUUUAUGGCAUUUGCUAACAAAUUCUAGUAGAUUAGUCGUUGUAGAUCGCCUGGGUACAAAACCAUGUUGAUUCACACUAAUAUAGUUGCAGGCCGAGGCCAACAAUGGCUCGUAGAUUAGCAUUUCGAACACCUUUGCACACACGCUGAGUGAGGUUAUGCCACGAUAGUUUACAGCAACAUUCUUACAGCCCUUCUUGUAGAUGGGUGUCAUCCAGGAAGAUUUCCAAGUGGCAGGAAAGGUUCCACACCUCAGGGACUCCUUAAAAAUCUUCAUCAGCGAGGGAGCAAGCGCAGAAGCACACCACUUUAGGAUAACGGCCGGUAUACCAUCUGGGCCAGGGGUAUAUGAGGAUUUGACACGUUUGAUGGCAGAGAUGAUCGUAUCGACAGUGAUGACUGGUAGCAUAGGGAGCAGUGCACCAACAGGUGUGUUAGAGAGAGCAUCGGCCACAUCUUCUGGACCAGUAGUUUGAGAAGCGAAGUUGUCCUUGAAGCGCAAGGCAAACAAUUUACACAUUUCUGGCAGGGAACAGGCACUGUCACCGUCAUAACGUAUAAUGCUUGGUAGCCCAGCAGAUUUUCGUUUUUUGUCCAUAUAACUCCAAAAGCGCCUAGGGUACUUGCAGAGGGAACGUGCAGUUUGUUUCAAAUAACUUCGGUGACAGGAUCUAUUGUAUCGGCGAUAGAGAGAAUGAACUCUGUUGUAAUAAAGACGUGACGUGCUGUUUCGUUCUGCUCGUUGAUCAGAAUAGGCUUUUCUUUUUUCUUUUUUUAAUGCAUUUAGUGUGCGAUCAGCCCAGGUGAUCAGGUGGUCCACGACGAGGAAUUUUAACAGGAGUGCAUUCACAUAUAGCAGAUCUCAUGAACUCACAAAAAGCCUCUGUGGCAUCGUCAAUGGUUGAAUAGUCCGAACAGUUAAAAGAAUUGUCAAAAGAUAAAAUCAAUCGCUCCAAUUUUGGAAGGUCAACACGAGCAUAAUUCAGCCUUUUAUCAGCAUCAAUGGCUGUAGCGAUCGUAACUGGGGCUACGUUGUCCAAGUCAAAGUCAAGCGGAGGGUGGUGUUCGUCGAUAGUAGUAAGGGGAUAUUCACAGACACGUAUUGUAGAACAUGUAGAUGCAGCUGGCCAAUUUGCGUAAAUUAGGUCAAGUAUUCGCCCCGAUGAGUUAGUAUUGGAGUUAAGCUGGUAUAGUCCACUCUGAUUCAAACCAUCAACGAACUGGACACUGCGCGUGGAGCGUGCAUGAGGCUCAUAGAAAUCAAAAGCAGCUCCAUUUUCCUCUGAUGCCGAUGUUCACGAUAGCGUAGACUGGUUGAAAUCACCAAUAAGCAUGAACCUGUCUCUCGGACCAAGAGUAGUGCUGAUAGGUAGCUGCAGCAGCAACCGGACCGAACCGACCGCACUACUGAUUGUGGUCAAAUACUGAUUGCGGUCCUGGCAGGAGAAAAAAAACCCACGAGUGUAUCGAACAGGCUACUGACGGACCCCGAAUAGGCCAUUCAUUCCCAACGGCCUAAGAUGUUGUUAGUGUUCAGUGGUGUGCGCGACCGUCAAAGUGUUACCAUUAAAUAUUUGAAUUAACAAGAUAACACUGUUAUGGUGAUGUCGUGUAGAUGUGCGCAAGUGGGUUAACAUUAGACUUAAGUACGCUUUAAGGCAUAAAUCGAUAUGCCUAAUUUUAAGUUAAGUGUUUUGACAUGCCCGUGUGUGUCAAGCGGCGGAACAAGCGCUAAGCAAACUAAGCGGCCGCGUCGGGCCCCGUGGUCUUGAGGGGCCCCAAAAAAGGAACCCAUCCCCCGCUCACAAGUUAAAUUGCUACUCAAUCCUUCUCUAGUUUAGAACAUUUCCCUGCUAGACGAUUAAACCAAACUUACAUUUGUUUGACUGCUUAGGGCCUCCACUCGUAUGUGUGGGUUUUGCACAACAUUUAAGAUAAAUAAAUUUAGUUUAUAUUAUCAUAAAACACUACGCAUUUUUAAAGGGGGAAUAAAGAUGAUGACAUAUAUUUAGUUUGUUAGAAGGUUUGUAUGCACGUUCACUAGUUUAUUUUAUCUGGAUUCUUUGCGGACUGCUUUUCGAUUGCGCAUGUCGCUUUGCCUCGUCUUGUGUUUUACAAACCCCAACAGCAAGGAUGCGGCUAGUCUAUCAUUGGAUUAACCUGGUGGAUCUGGUAGCUUGUAGCGCACCAUACUCGCCUGUCCGCGAUGGGUAGGCCAUGUCAUACCCCUGGUACUGAACGAUCCAGCCCAUAGUCGUUCGCAAGGACAGACAAAACGGUGUGUCACAGAAUGUGUAACAGAUGGUAGAAAAUGGGUACCUGCGGGUGAGAGAGUGUGUUUCUAAUGUUUUAUUAUCAGUUGAUGACACGUUCAAAUGGAUGUGCACAGAUCACGGCCCGAUCCUGAGGGCUCACCGUUGAAAGACGCACUGUCAGCGUGUGAUGUCCGCAGAGAGGAUCUUGACACGGAACCGAGUGUGGCCGUUCUCUCCCCCUUCCCCUCCCGCGUGUGUUUUUGGAUGUGGCUUUCUUUUUCUUCUUCCUUAUGUAUGUGGCUUUAUAAUCAUGUGUUAAAGAAAUAAACCAAAGAGCUGUUGAACGACGUUUAUGUGUUGUUUUGUCGCACAUUUUGUAUUAAUGUGGAUACAUAAAGG